UACGGAGGGUGCAAGCGUUAUCCGGAUUCACUGGGCUUAAAGGGUGCGUAGGCGGGUUGGUAAGUCCGUGGUGAAAUCUCCGAGCUUAACUCGGAAACUGCCGUGGAUACUAUCAAUCUUGAAUAUCGUGGAGGUAAGCGGAAUAUGUCAUGUAGCGGUGAAAUGCUUAGAUAUGACAUAGAACACCAAUUGCGUAGGCAGCUUACUACACGAUCAUUGACGCUGAGGCACGAAAGCGUGGGGAGCAAACAGG
rnacentral:rRNA from 1 species